GCGAAAACUUUACAAUGCUGGCAACAGCGAUAUGGGAACCUCGAGUGCCAGGUUACAAAUCUGGCUGUCGAGAUGCCUAAAAAGCAUUUCAUAGCAAGGGCCGGGCAAGACCGGUGCCAGCCGCCGCGGUAACACCGGCGGCUCGAGUGGUAACCGUUAUUAUUGGGUCUAAAGGGUCUGUAGCCGGCCGGAUAAGUCUCUUGAGAAAUCUGGCAGCUUAACUGUCAGGCUUUCAGGAGAUACUGUCUGGCUCGAGGCCGGGAGAGGUGAGAGGUACUUCAGGGGUAGGGGUGAAAUCUUGUAAUCCUUGAAGGACCACCAGUGGCGAAGGCGCCUCACCAGAACGGACCUGACGGCAAGGGACGAAAGCUAGGGGCACGAACC
rnacentral:rRNA from 1 species